GUUUCUGGGGACUCAGCAACAACAGGUUGCUCAUGACUGCGUAGCGGUCUGGUUUGCUUCACACUUUCCCAACCUAUAUUGAUGUUUCCAUUAUGCGUCUCUGUGGCAAGCACCGUAUUGGGAUUCCCUUGGCUUGUGUCUCUCCUGUGCUCCUCCAUCCUCCUACCAGUUGUCCUCGACAUCGCCCUGAUGUGUGCAGGUUCCUCAUUUGUGUUGUCGUUUGUUGUGGGCACUUUGUAUAUCCCUUUUCUUUCCGAUUGCCAUGGGGAGUCCUUUUCGUUUCUUAGAGUAUUGUGUACUGUCGGG
rnacentral:lncRNA from 1 species